GACGAACGCUGGCGGCGUGCCUAAUACAUGCAAGUCGAACGCUUCUUUCCUCCCGAGUGCUUGCACUCAAUUGGAAAGAGGAGUGGCGGACGGGUGAGUAACACGUGGGUAACCUACCCAUCAGAGGGGGAUAACACUUGGAAACAGGUGCUAAUACCGCAUAACAGUUUAUGCCGCAUGGCAUAAGAGUGAAAGGCGCUUUCGGGUGUCGUUGAUGGAUGGACCCGCGGUGCAUUAGCUAGUUGGUGAGGUAACGGCUCACCAAGGCCACGAUGCAUAGCCGACCUGAGAGGGUGAUUGGCCACACUGGGACUGAGACACGGCCCAGACUCCUACGGGAGGCAGCAGUAGGGAAUCUUCGGCAAUGGACGAAAGUCUGACCGAGCAACGCCGCGUGAGUGAAGAAGGUUUUCGGAUCGUAAAACUCUGUUGUUAGAGAAGAACAAGGACGUUAGUAACUGAACGUCCCCUGACGGUAUCUAACCAGAAAGCCACGGCUAACUACGUG
rnacentral:rRNA from 1 species